rnacentral:rRNA from 1 species
UACGGAGGGGGCUAGCGUUGUUCGGAAUUACUGGGCGUAAAGCGCGCGUAGGCGGACCUGCAAGUCGGGGGUGAAAGCCCGAGGCUCAACCUCGGAACUGCCUUCGAUACUGCGGGUCUCGAGUCCGGGAGAGGUGAGUGGAAUUCCUAGUGUAGAGGUGAAAUUCGUAGAUAUUAGGAAGAACACCAGUGGACGAAGGCGGCUCACUGGCCCGGUACUGACGCUGAGGCGCGACAGGCGUGG